AUAAGCAAAACAAGGGCGUAUGGGGAAUGCCUAGGCUCUCAGAGGCGAAGAAGGACGUGAUAAGCUGCGAAAAGCUGCGGGGAUUGGCACAUACAAGUUGAUCCGCAGAUAUCCGAAUGGGGCAACCCACCAUAUUGAAGAUAUGGUAUCCGCAAGGAGGCAAACCCGGAGAACUGAAACAUCUAAGUACCCGGAGGAAGAGAAAACAAUAGUGAUUCCGAUAGUAGCGGCGAGCGAAAUCGGAUUAGCCCAAACCGUACAGUUUACGGACUGUGCGGGGUUGUAGGACCGCGACAUUUGAUGCGCAAUGAACUAGAACACGUUGGAAAGCGUGGCCAUAGACGGUGAUAGCCCGGUAUAGGCAAGGAGCGUUAUCGAUAGCGGUAUCCUGAGUAGUGCGGGGCACGUGAAACCCUGUAUGAAUCCGGCGGGACCAUCCGCCAAGGCUAAAUACUCCUGAGAGACCGAUAGUGAACCAGUACCGUGAGGGAAAGGUGAAAAGAACCCUGAACAAGGGAGUGAAACAGAACCUGAAACCAUACGCUUACAAGCGGUCGGAGCCCUUCGGGGUGACGGCGUGCCUUUUGCAUAAUGAGCCUACGAGUUACUGUUACUAGCAAGGUUAAGGUAUUAAGUACCGGAUCCGUAGCGAAAGCGAGUCUGAACAGGGCGCCACAGUUAGUAGUAGUAGACGCGAAACCGUGUGAUCUACCCUUGGGCAGGUUGAAGCUGUGGUAACACAUAGUGGAGGACCGAACCCGUUGACGUUGAAAAGUCUUGGGAUGACCUGAGGGUAGGGGUGAAAGGCCAAUCAAACUCGGAAAUAGCUCGUACUCCCCGAAAUGCAUUUAGGUGCAGCGUUGAUUUAUAGUUUUAUAGAGGUAGAGCUACUGAUUGGAUGCGGGGGCUUCACCGCCUACCAAUUCCUGACAAACUCCGAAUGCUAUAAAAUGAUGAUCAGCAGUGAGGGCAUGGGUGCUAAGGUCCAUGUCCGAGAGGGAAAGAACCCAGACCAUCAGCUAAGGUCCCAAAAUAUACACUAAGUUGAAUAAACGAGGUUGGACUGCACAGACAGCUAGGAUGUUGGCUUGGAAGCAGCCAUUCAUUUAAAGAGUGCGUAACAGCUCACUAGUCGAGCGGUCCGGCAUGGAUAAUAAUCGGGCAUAAACAUACUACCGAAGCUAUGGACUUGAAUUUAUUCAAGUGGUAGGGGAGCAUUCUGUUUGCGCCGAAGGUGUACCGUGAGGUAUGCUGGAGCGGACAGAAAAGAAAAUGUAGGCAUAAGUAACGAUAAUGCGGGCGAGAAACCCGCACUCCGAAAGACUAAGGUUUCCUCAGCUAUGCUAAUCAGCUGAGGGUUAGUCGGGACCUAACGCGAACCCGAAAGGGGUAGUGGAUGGACAACAGGUUAAUAUUCCUGUACCUGCUCACGUUAAAAGUGACGGAGGCGAAAAUUAGGUGCGCACUGACGGAAUAGUGCGUUGAAGCCAGUGGUAACACGGCGAUAGUACACUGAGGCUCCGGCCAAGGUGAUAAUCCUGAGGAUCGACUUCCAAGAAAAGCGAGUGAAGCAGCCCGUACCCUAAACCGACACAGGUGGUUGGGAUGAGAAUUCUAAGGAGCUCGAGAGAUUCAUGGCUAAGGAACUAGGCAAAAUCGACCCGUAACUUCGGGAGAAGGGUCGCCCACGGCAACGUGGGCCGCAGUGAAGAGGUCCAGGCGACUGUUUAUCAAAAACACAGGGCUCUGCAAAAUCGAAAGAUGAAGUAUAGGGCCUGACACCUGCCCGGUGCUGGAAGGUUAAGAGGAGAUGUCAGCUUCGGCGAAGCAUUGAAUUGAAGCCCCAGUAAACGGCGGCCGUAACUAUAACGGUCCUAAGGUAGCGAAAUUCCUUGUCGGG
rnacentral:rRNA from 1 species